rfam:Echinococcus multilocularis genomic scaffold, pathogen_EMT_contig_0804
GACUCCGUGGCGCAACGGUAGCGCGUCUGACUCCAGAUCAGAAGGUCGAAUAAAACUAAUUGGACAGUACAUGUGGUCA